UACUGCACCUUUUAAAGAAAAAUAAUACAGUUGCUAAAAAUAUGAAAAUUGCUGUAAAUUUUCACAGGUUGGGCAACAUGAGGGAGAGAGAGGAACAGUGAACAUUUCAGGUUGAUGAGUAUUUUUAUAUAUCAGAGCUGACCUCUACAGUUGUUUGCCAAAGUCUUGUCAGCAGGCAUGUCUGGACAGGCAGGAAAUGGAAGGCCAAGGACACAGUGGAGGUGUUUGACUCAACGUCUGAGGCACAGGGAUCCGAUAGGGACAGUGGAAUCUGGGCGGGCGAGGCUCGGCAGCUUCCCUUCAACCCAUCGACUGCAGCCUUGCCAGGAAUAGAUGCAAACUUGUCCAGGAAGAGGUGCGAGCAGCUGUUGAGGAAGUGCGUACCACCAAGAUGUGUAUACAAGCCCAGUCGCUCCAGUCUUUCGACAUAUGACAGUUCCGCCAUCCCGGGAAUUAACCUUGUGAACCUACGCUGCACUCCCUCAAUAGCAAGAAUGUCCUUCCUCAAAUUUGGAGACCAAAACUACACACAAUACUCCAGGUGUGGUCUCAAGCCGAGGCUCUUCAUCACGACUUAUAAGUUGCCUUACCAAGCUGUGAUCUACCCGGAAGGAUAUCUUCUGUGACGCAUCUGUAAAGGUACCGUGCACAAUCCUGAUUUGAUGGAGACAGAUGUGAGAAGCACAGAGGAACAUCUGGAGAAACUUCUGAAAUGCCUGUUUCGCUGCUGUUGCUACUGUGCGAUCGAGAAUCUCCGGAGGGGAAGGCCCCAAAUCCUCAGCUUUGCCUAUUGUCUUUUGCCAGGGCCAGGGUCGAAGAGCUCGGCAGAGAUGGUGCUCGGUGCUCCGUGUUGGAGGGCUGGUCGGAGACUCGAAGUUUUCGGACGGACUCAAGUGUUGGCUGUGGUCGGGUGCUUCCAGGGUGCUGCAUUGGCAAGUUUGCGGCGCUGGAGGUUCAUGGCAGGAAGUGAGUUUCUCUCCCUUCUACCAUCUGCGUGAGAUGAUGGGACUUUCGAGAGACCUUGAGACUUUUUUUUACCGUGCCCAUGGUCUGUUCUUUAUCAAAUUACGGUAUUGCUUGCACUUUUGUAACUAUAUGUUAUAAUUAUGUGUUUUUUGUCAAUUUUUCAGUCUUGGUUUGUCUUGUGUUUCUGUGAUAUCAUU